rnacentral:rRNA from 1 species
UCAGGAUGAACGCUGGCGGCGUGCUUAAUACAUGCAAGUCGAACGGACAAAGUCAGAAAGCUUGCUUCUGGCCGAGUAGUGGCGAACGGGUGAGUAAUACGUAGGCAACCUGCCCCAAAGCGGGGGAUAGUGUUGGAAACGACGAUUAAUACCGCAUAGGUAAUCGGGAGGCAUCUUCUGAUUAUUAAAGGUGCGUUUGCACCGCUGUGGGAUGGGCUUACGCUGUAUUAGCUUGUUGGUGAGGUAACGGCCCACCAAGGCGAUGAUACAUAGCCGGUCUGAGAGGAUGAACGGCCACAUUGGGACUGAGACACGGCCCAGACUCCUACGGGAGGCAGCAGUAAGGAAUUUUCGGCAAUGGACGAAAGUCUGACCGAGCAACGCCGCGUGAGUGAUGAAGGCCUUCGGGUCGUAAAGCUCUGUGGUAAAGGAAGAACACCAUGAAUAGGAAAUGAUUCAUGGCUGACGGUACUUUACUAGAAAGUCACGGCUUACUACGUGCCAGCAGCGGC